UUAAUCUGAAAUUAACAUACUUCGUUUCCUUUGAACAACGAAUUUCGUAAUUCUGAUGGAAAAUGAGACCAUUGUUUUGUUUUGAAUUGAUGAGUUCAUUGACGCUCCAGUGCUUGACGUCUACCAGCAGUAUAUCAACGUUGCGCGUAAUAACAGGUCACUGGAUUUAUUACAUCGCACAAUUCCUGAGGCCUAUCAAGAAGUUAUUAGCCGAAAAUGUCGAUCAUUCUGUCAGGUGAACUAUUAAGUUGAGCUCUACGUGGACUAAUUACCCUUUGUCUGGUCGUCACUUCACUAAUUAAUAUCACUAUUUAUCUAAUUGGAGGCUUUUAAACAAAUUAUCCGGACAAAAGCGUUUGAUAUGAAGUUCAGGAGAAGUACAAAUGAUUGACAGCAAGGCUGACACCAACUGCAGUUGAAGCCAACCUUUACUGUUUUCAUCCUGUUUCAAAUAUCGGAGUCUUGUAUUAAACACACAAAACUGACUUAGGCUCCACCUGAACGCCGUGAAACCGCGGAAUCGAUGCGUUAAAGGUCAGAUAUGCCGAUUUUGAAGUGCCGCAGAACUGAGCGAUACUCGCGCUGUGUGUUCAUUACCGAACACUGAAUAUGUGUGCGAAAUAUCUUGCUCCAACUGUUCGUAGUUUUUUAGAAAACAGUUUUUUUAGUUCCCACGCCCGGUCGUCAGACCGUCGGCAAACCCUGCGCACGGGCGCACCGACGUCACUGCUCUCGGUUUAUCUGUCUUUGGCUUGGCAUGGACUCUUGGCUUGGCUGCUUGGCUUCUUUCGUUUCCUCCUCUGUGGAUCGUACAUAAGCGAACAGCUGUUACGUUGUUGCUAAGCCGGAAACAAAGCAUGUGAAUGUUUUUUUUUGGCACAGCGUCGUUGGGAAAGUGCACUUCCUUGUUCUGACCUUGCCUUUUAUGGGCUGGAGCGAUAUGAAUCGUAAAUAUGCCACGGCGAAGUUGUCGAAGAUGCGAGAGUGCUACGCUGUUAGAACAAUUCAUCGGUGCAUUCAAGUGUUACCUAUUAUAAGCUGCCAAAAGACCAAGCAGUGCGAAGCUCUUGGCUGACAGUGGUGCCUGCUAAUUUCCACUGCAAGGAUUUCGUCCACGAAUGUUAUCAUAGGUUACGCGCGACUCCAGAGGCAAUUUGGAAUCUCGGCACGAAAUCGUCUGAUGAAAAUCUGAGGUGCCCGACGCAUAACAUUUUGAACGUGCCACGGAGGAUCAAGGCAAAAAACGAGAGCAAAAAAUGGUGCACGCUGAAGGCGGAAAUGAAGCAUGAUCUGGCUUGCAUCUGGUAAUGAAGAAAUUGCUGACACGUUAGUUGCAGUCCACCUCCACCAACAGGGUGGAAAACAAAGAUCGCCAUUCCGAUUAGCUGCUAUCUCCCAGUUCAAGCACUUUUGUGUCUGGACACUGAUUCCUGUGGAUGGGGUGUUACAAGCUUUACUGUCUGAUAUAGAAGUGAUGAGCAUCCAUAAGGACACAUGCCAGAAAGGGAGUCUCUUUGGGAUGACAAACCCUCAUCACCUCGUGAGGAUACAAUGGUUGACGAAUGGUUCUCAAGCACAUCGAAACUUCCAACAAAUAAUUCAUGAAAAAGCCAGUCAGUGCUAGCACCAGGAAUUGAACGUGGGCCAUCCUGCUAGCAGUCAGAGAUGUUCAGUGGUGUAGCCACGAGGGGGCUAGGGGGUCUCGAGCCCCCCCUACCUGCCACGGACCGACCCACACAAAUCGUGCAAAUCCGAGAACAUAAUAUAUGGGGGGGGACCAGUGUGACUAUCGCGAAAGUUCUUGCAGUUCAUGGCGUCUAUCUAAGAAGCAUUCUUGAAUGGUUUUCAAAGUAUGAGCUUUUCAAAAUACUUCCAAUCUCGUGACACCACUUCAUUGGUCAUGACAGCCUAUACAUGUAAUCGUACUGUGAACGUCUAAAUCAACUAUUUUCGUUCCCUUUUUUAAUCCUCAGUUUGAAGUGUGCACAAGUAUGUGUGUGUUGUCGACACAGGAUCAGCGGGGGGGGGGGGG